CCUCACCUGAGGAGUGAUCAGCUCAGACUAGGACAGACGCGACAUGUGUGGGGACUGCGCCUCCCCGCUUGGAAGGAAGGGUGAAACUGGCUUUAGCUGCAGGAAGGAAGGAUGCAUUGGCGCGGUGGAAAUCUUCACAGAAGGUGAAGGAGAACGUGGCUCUCUCUGUGACCACUGGGCUACAGUGGCAGCCAGGAUUUGCGUGCCUGGACAGCAGCUUCUGUCUUCACCGAAACUUGAGCUAAGCUUUCUGCCUGCCUGCUGAAGUUUGGAUUUGAAUACCCC
rnacentral:lncRNA from 1 species